rnacentral:rRNA from 1 species
AGAGUUUGAUCCUGGCUUAGAACGAACGCUGGCGGCGCGUUUAAGCAUGCAAGUCGAGCGGCAAGGGCCUUCGGGCCCUAGAGCGGCGGACGGGUGAGUAACACGUGGACAAUCUGCCCCCCGGCCCGGGAUAGCCCAGGGAAACCUGGAUUAAUACCGGAUGAGACGGGACCCGCGAUGGCGGGAUCCGGGAAAGGCGCUGCGGCGCCGCCGGGGGAUGAGUCUGCGUCCCAUUAGCUAGACGGCGGGGUAACGGCCCACCGUGGCGACGAUGGGUAGCCGGCCUGAGAGGGUGGACGGCCACAUUGGAACUGAGACACGGUCCAGACUCCUACGGGAGGCAGCAGCUAAGAAUCUUCCGCAAUGGGCGAAAGCCUGACGGAAGCGACGCCGCGUGAACGAAGAAGGCCGUGAGGUUGUAAAGUUCUUUUCGGGAGGGGGAACAACCGUGGCAGGGAAUGGCCGCGGGAUGACGUGAAUCCCGGAAUAAGCCCCGGCUAACUACGUGCCAGCCGCCGC